rnacentral:lncRNA from 1 species
ACCCCGUACGACGAAGAAACGUGGAAUGAAGAAUCGUAUUCGUCGAAGUGAGCAGAAACGGACGUGAUUUCGCACCUGCCAAAUCGCACAAGAGGCUCUCGUGACUGGCCAACCAUUCGCUGGCCGUUUGUUACUUUCAUUUCUAUCCUAUCUUGCAUCUCUAUUCUGCCGCGCGAGGUCGAGGACAUUUCAAGAGAGCAAUGGAGUAUACGAGAGAGAUAAAUUGACAAGGAGAGAAGGAUGGUAACUGUACUUUCGCUACUUAUGUGAUUGAACCUUAUAACAUUGGCGAGUAGCAAAAUAUUUCGACACCGGCUGAUGAAGACAACGACACGUACGAUCCAUCGUGGAACCUGCAGUCGACGAAACCUCCGAGGAUGGAUUUUGUCAAAUAAUCGCGCUGAUUCGAACGGAGAAACUGGAACAGCAGCGUUCUCCAAUUGAGGUUGGGGUAGCAACGGAUUACAACGAAGUCGUGUUCCCGGGUUCACGGGGUCAGCGGGACACGUCGGGCGGAUAACCCCGACAAAAAUACAUAGAAGGUGCUACGAGAAGGUCAGAAGUUGAGAGCUGGUAUUCCCGCCGGUAUGACAAGGCCUCGGAAAUCGGUCAUACCUUUGAAACCCCGGAGAAUCCAUUCUCUUGCUGUAGAUGUCUUCGUCUAUUAACGUUUACUUGGUCUCUUCAAUUCUAGAAUAUACCGCUCUUUGAACUUGACCAAUGACCAAUAUCGUUCUUCUAUGCACUUCUAUCUAAUUUUAACGGCGUGACGUGGGACAGAA